rnacentral:tRNA from 1 species
UGGCUCAAUGGUAGAGCGUUCGACUCAAAUACUAAAGAUCGUGGGUUCGAAUCCCAG